rnacentral:rRNA from 1 species
GACUAGCCAUGCAUGUCUAAGUCCAAGCUGUGUGUUGUGGGUGAAAGCUUGCACACACGGCGAAACCGCGGACGGCUCAUUAAAUCAGUCGUGGUCCAAAUGGGCUAGUGUUAUCUUACUUGGAUAACUGUGGUAAUUCCAGAGCUAAUACAUGCAACUGUAAGUCCGAGCGGCUUGUGUGGCAACACACUCGCUGCGACGACUGCUUUUAUUAGACCAAACCGCUGAGAGAUGCGCACAUACUGUGUGUCUCGUAGACUCGUGUUAUGGUGACUCUGAAUAACACCUCAUGACAAGCGCACGUAUCCNUUUAUUUGGGACGGCGCUGCCACUUUCGAGUGUCUGCCUUAUCAGCUAUGUAUCGUUCGUUAUGUGCGACCGAUGGCUUUGACGGGUAACGGGGAAUCAGGGUUCGAUUCCGGAGAGGCAGCCUGAGAAACGGCUACCACGUCCAAGGACGGCAGCAGGCACGCAAAUUACCCAAUCCCAGCAACUGGGGGAGGUAGUGACGAAAUCUAACGAUGCGGGCGCCCCUUCUGGGGCCCCGCAAUCGGAAUGAGCGUUUCUUUCUAAACAUACCGUUGAGAACCUACUGAAGGGCAAGUCUGGUGCCAGCAGCCGCGGUAAUUCCAGCUUCAGCAGCAUCUACUAAAGUUGCUGCGGUUAAAAGGCUCGCAGUUGAAUGUCAGUAUCAAGUGCAGCGAUGGUGGACGUUGGAGUGUGGGUUAGUUAGUUGGCGGUCGUGCUUGGCUUCGGCUCUGUGCAGCGUCGGCUUCUGCUCGCUUUAACUCCCGUCCGUAACAAGCCUCCUCACUUGCUUACAAAAUGGAAUCUAAUGGUGGAAGUGUUUAUGUUGUUCAUUCGCGAGCUCUCGUGCGCGCUCGCUUUACGUGGGUGUGCCUUGGGUGAGUGGGUGACGGUGUCUCUGUAAGCUGGAUUUCAAUGUCACCUUGAGUAAAUCAGAGUGCUCAAAGCAGUCGUAAAGGAUGUGCGGCGUUAACGCGUCGUACGUUCUGUGAUGAAUGUCUAUUAUGACAGACGGUCUUGAUUUUGCAUGGUAUGUCGAAAGACGCCGUAUUUCCUGUUGGUAACGAGUCUGGUGCGGGCUUGCAUCCAGGGGCCUCUCUUUCUUUACGGAGAGGGUGCGUCUUUGAGUGUGACACACGAGACCAACAGGUGCGGAAUGAUUAAAAGGUUCGGUCGAGGGCAUUGGUAUUGCGAGGCGAGAGGUGAAAUUCUAUGACCCCCGCAAGACCUCCUGAAGCGAAAGCGUCUGCCAAGGACGUUUUCAUAAUCAKAACGAACCAGGCGUGGAGCCUGCGGCUUAAUUUGACUCAACACGGGCCAUCUCACCAGGCCAGCACUCUUGUACGAUUGACAGAUUGAGAGUUCUUUCUCGAUUCAGUGGAUGGUGGUGCAUGGCCGUUCUUAGUUGGUGGAGUGAUCUGUCUGGUUAAUUCCGAUAACGAACGAGACUCUCCCCUGCUAAAUAGUCGGUUGGAUUUUGCGUUCGAGGGUGUUGUGUGACUUGUGUUUGUGUGGGUGUGCUUUUAUGUGCGCUCGCGCGGCUCUUUGUUGCACCUCCCUCCAAGUCCGCCGCUUACUUACACAAGUGGAGUGUAACAGCGAAGCUAUAUGAGUAAAACUCUUCUUAGAGGGAUUCACGGUUCUGAAGCCGUAAGAAACUGAGAGCAAUAACAGGUCUGUGAUGCCCUUAGAUGUUCUGGGCCGCACGCGCGCUACAAUGCCGGGCACAGCAGGUAUCUAUCCUUCUCCGAGAGGAGUGGGUAACCCUCUGAAAGCCCUUGAAACAAUUUACCAGAGUAGAGUCAUCACUUCGUGUGUUGUCUCUGCUUCCUUGGCUUGCUUGGGCCUGUGGCUUGCAAUUCUUUCACACAAACGAGGAAUGCCUAGUAGCGGCGGAUCACUGAGUUCGCUGUGACUCAGUCCCUGCCCUUUGUACACACCGCCCGUCGCUACUACCGAUUGGGUGUACCAGUGAGAUCCUUGGACUGGCGAGCCUUGUGCUUUAGCAAUAGAGUGCAAGUGUGUACGACGGAAAGAGGUUCGAACUGGUGCACUUAGAGGAAGUAAAAGUCGUAACAAGG